rnacentral:misc_RNA from 1 species
GGCAGUGACAUGUUGCGAGGUGUCUCUGGCGGCCAGAGAAAAAGGGUUACUACAGGAGAAAUGAUUGUGGGGCCAAGAAAGACCUUAUUUAUGGAUGAAAUAUCCACUGGACUUGAUAGUUCAACAACGUACCAAAUAGUGAAAUGUAUAGGGAAUUUUGUUCAUCAAAUGGACGCAACUGUACUAAUGGCUCUUCUUCAGCCUCCGCCUGAGACAUUCGAUCUGUUUGAUGAUUUGGUGCUAUUAUCAGAAGGCUACAUGGUGUAUCAAGGGCCACGAGCUCAAGUUUUACAGUUCUUCGAGUCUCUAGGAUUUCGAUUACCACCAAGGAAGGGCGUUGCAGAUUUUCUUCAAGAGGUGACCUCAAUAAAGGAUCAAGCACAGUACUGGGCUGAUCCUUCAAAACCAUAUGUAUUCAUGCCUGUUUCAGAAAUUGCAGAGGCAUUCGAUAAUUCCAGGUUUGGAAGGGCUGUGAAGUCCACACUUUCUGUUCCAGUUGACAAAUCCAGUUAUCAUCCUUCAGCUUUGUCAAAAACGAGAUAUGCCGUGUCAAGAUGGGAGCUCUUAAAAGCAUGCUUUGCUAGAGAAAUACUACUGAUCAAGCGGCAUCGUUUUCUUUAUUGGUUUAGGACAUGCCAGGUCUUUUUUGUUGGAUGCAUCACUUGCACUAUAUUCUUACGGACAAGAUUGCAUCCCACCAACGAGUCAUAUGGGAGUCUAUAUCUUUCUUGCCUCUUUUUUGGGCUGGUGCACGUGAUGUUUAAUGGGUUUUCCGAACUAUCUCUACUGAUAUUUCGACUCCCAGUCUUCUACAAGCAACGGGAUAAUCUCUUUCAUCCUGGAUGGGCAUGGUCUCUAGCCAGUUUUGUUCUACGUAUACCCUACUCUGCUGUUGAAGCCUUUGUAUGGUCUUUGGUUGUAUACUACACUGUUGGUUUUGCCCCUGCUUUUGGAAGGUUCUUGCGUUUUAUGUUCUUACUCUUUACAGUGCACCAAAUGGCAUUGGGUCUCUUUCGGAUGAUGGCUUCGAUAACACGAGAUAUGGUUAUUGCCAAUACAUUUGGGUCAGCUGCUCUGUUGAUUGUAUUUUUAUUGGGUGGAUUUAUCAUUCCUAAAGAAUCGAUUAAGCCUUGGUGGAUUUGGGCUUUUUGGGUGUCACCAUUAACCUACGGACAACGAGCAAUUUCAGUCAAUGAAUUUGGUGACGAAAGGUGGAUGAAGAGAUCUGCAAUUGGGAAUAAUACAAUUGGAUACAAUAUUCUCCAUGAGCAUAGUUUGCCAAUGAAUGAUAAUUGGUAUUGGAUUAGCAUCGGUGUUUUAUGGCUCUAUGCGGUGCUUUUCAACCUCGUUGUGACUUGGGCCUUAACCUAUCUUAAUCCUCUCCGGAAGGCUCAAACAGUGGCUGAUCCAGUUGAUGCCACAGAAGAAAAUUCUGCUAGAAAUGCUAAUCAGGGGACUCAGUUGAAUGGAACAUCUGCUAAGGAGGACAAUAAAAAGACGGGCAUGAUUCUUCCAUUUAAACCAUUGACAAUGACAUUCCAUAAUGUCAAUUACUUCGUUGAUAUGCCAAAGGAAAUGUGUAAACAAGGUAUACCAGAAAAGAAGUUGCAGCUUUUGUCAAAUGUGAGUGGAGUAUUUUCACCAGGAGUUCUCACUGCAUUGGUUGGGUCAAGUGGAGCAGGAAAAACUACUCUGAUGGACGUGCUUGCUGGCCGGAAAACUGGGGGAUAUAUAGAAGGGGAUAUUAAGAUAUCAGGUUACCCUAAAGAGCAACGCACAUUUGCUAGAAUUUCAGGAUAUGUUGAACAAAAUGAUAUACAUUCUCCUCAGGUUACUGUUGAGGAGUCUCUCUGGUUUUCUUCCAGUCUUCGGCUUCCAAAAGAAGUUACCAAAGAACAAAGACAUGAGUUUGUUGAAGAAGUAAUGAGAUUGGUAGAACUCAAUAAUCUACGGAAAGCAUUGGUUGGUUUGCCAGGUACUAGUGGCUUAUCAACUGAACAGAGAAAGAGAUUAACAAUUGCAGUUGAGCUUGUUGCAAAUCCUUCCAUUAUUUUUAUGGAUGAACCAACCUCCGGACUUGACGCACGAGCAGCAGCAAUUGUGAUGCGAACUGUUCGUAAUACCGUUGAUACUGGAAGAACAGUGGUUUGCACCAUUCAUCAGCCAAGUAUUGACAUUUUUGAAGCAUUUGAUGAGCUACUUCUCAUGAAACGAGGGGGACAGGUUAUAUAUGGAGGAAAGCUUGGCUUGCACUCACAGAUUAUGAUAGACUAUUUUCAGGGAAUUGCAGGAAUCCCUCCUAUUACUGAUGGCUACAACCCAGCAACUUGGAUGCUUGAGGUUACUACUCCUACCGUUGAAGAAAGGAUUUGUGAAGAUUUUGCUGAGUUAUAUAAAAAUUCUGAGCAAUACAGGGAGGUGGAAGCUUCAAUUAUGCAUUUCAGUGCUCCGCCUGCAGGCUCAGAACCAUUAAAGUUUGUUUCUACAUAUUCACAAGAUAUAUCGACUCAGUUUGGGAUUUGCCUUAGGAAACAAAAUCUUGUAUACUGGAGAAGUCCACAAUACAAUGCCGUGAGGAUAUUUUUUACUGUAUUAGCUGCAUUUAUAUUAGGCUCAGUGUUUUGGAAAACUGGUUCAGAAAGGGACUCUACUCAAUCUUUGUUUAUUGUCAUGGGAGCUCUAUACUCUGCCUGUCUGUUUCUUGGGGUCAAUAAUGCUUCCUCAGUGCAGCCAAUAAUUUCUAUUGAGAGGACGGUGUUCUAUAGAGAAAAGGCAGCUGGAAUGUACUCUCCAUUAGCCUAUGCCGCAGCACAGGGUCUUGUGGAAGUACCAUACAUCAUUUUGCAAACAAUUUUAUAUGGAAUUAUCACAUAUUUCAUGAUUAAUUUUGAAAGGACGGGCGGCAAAUUUUUCCUCUAUUUGUUGUUCAUGUUCCUUACUUUCACCUACUUCACAUUUUAUGGAAUGAUGGUUGUUGGUCUCACGCCUUCUCAACACAUGGCCGCUGUCGUCUCCUCAGCAUUUUACUCUUUAUGGAAUCUCCUCUCAGGUUUUCUUAUCCCAAUGCCUAAAAUCCCAGGAUGGUGGAUCUGGUUCUAUUACAUCUGCCCCGUUGCAUGGACUUUGCGGGGCAUCAUCAUUUCUCAGCUUGGUGAUGUGGAGAGCACAAUUGUAGGACCAGGUUUUGAAGGCUCUGUCAAAGAGUUUUUGAAAGUUAAUUUUGGCUUUGAAUCUGAUAUGCUUGGAGUUUCAGUGGUGGUGCUUGUUGGCUUCUGCGUCAUCUUCUUUGCUAUCUUUGCAUUCUCUGUGAAAUUCCUUAACUUCCAGAGAAGAUGAGCAGUGGAUUCAUUUAUUGAAACAGGGGGUCCUGCCUGCAGGGGACAAUUUUUUACCCUAGAAUAAUGGUUUUGAGGCCUUUGAUGUUGGUUGAGUUACGGGUUCAGUUGACUUGAGGGGUCUGCAAUUGUCCUGAAACACAUUUUGGCAAGGUUAUGGUGGCAUUGGAUAUGAGACUUGUAAUGGUGUGGUCACUGUGCAAGCAGUUGCUUUCAGGCAAGUUUAAAAUUGCAUUUGGGAUAUCAAAGCUUGAAACGCUUGUAGGGAGGGAAAUUUAGCUUGGGACAGCUGCCUUGCAUUAGGCUAUGGCUGAUAUUGUGGUAGAGCUGCUGCAAAAGUGAUGAGGGAGAGGAGCCUGUUGGCCAAGGACAUGUAGGCAACUGUAUCUUUUAACAAUUUUCAGCGACUUUUUUAAUGGAUUAGCUUGUUUGUACUUUAUAGGAUCACAAGGAAUGUUGACUCGGUGUUCAUAGUUACAGCAUACUUAAAGUUGAAUUUGAAAGCUGCCAAGCUUUCUGAUAUUGAUAUGUUAUUAUUUGCUUCCCACAAAAGUAGAUCUAGAAAGGGAG